rnacentral:rRNA from 1 species
CCUGCGAAGGUGUGCUGUGAGGCAUGCUGGAGGUAUCAGAAGUGCGAAUGCUGACAUAAGUAACGAUAAAGCGGGUGAAAAGCCCGCUCGCCGGAAGACCAAGGGUUCCUGUCCAACGUUAAUCGGGGCAGGGUGAGUCGACCCCUAAGGCGAGGCCGAAAGGCGUAGUCGAUGGGAAACAGGUUAAUAUUCCUGUACUUGGUGUUACUGCGAAGGGGGGACGGAGAAGGCUAUGUUGGCCGGGCGACGGUUGUCCCGGUUUAAGCGUGUAGGCUGGUUUUCCAGGCAAAUCCGGAAAAUCAAGGCUGAGGCGUGAUGACGAGGCACUGCGGUGCUGAAGCAACAAAUGCCCUGCUUCCAGGAAAAGCCUCUAAGCAUCAGGUAACAUCAAAUCGUACCCCAAACCGACACAGGUGGUCAGGUAGAGAAUACCAAGGCGCUUGAGAGAACUCGGGUGAAGGAACUAGGCAAAAUGGUGCCGUAACUUCGGGAGAAGGCACGCUGAUAUGUAGGUGAAGUCCCUCGCGGAUGGAGCUGAAAUCAGUCGAAGAUACCAGCUGGCUGCAACUGUUUAUUAAAAACACAGCACUGUGCAAACACGAAAGUGGACGUAUACGGUGUGACGCCUGCCCGGUGCCGGAAGGUUAAUUGAUGGGGUUAGCGCAAGCGAAGCUCUUGAUCGAAGCCCCGGUAAACGGCGGCCGUAACUAUAACGGUCCUAAGGUAGCGAAAUUCCUUGUCGGGUAAGUUCCGACCUGCACGAAUGGCGUAAUGAUGGCCAGGCUGUCUCCACCCGAGACUCAGUGAAAUUGAACUCGCUGUGAAGAUGCAGUGUACCCGCGGCAAGACGGAAAGACCCCGUGAACCUUUACUAUAGCUUGACACUGAACAUUGAGCCUUGAUGUGUAGGAUAGGUGGGAGGCUUUGAAGUGUGGACGCCAGUCUGCAUGGAGCCGACCUUGAAAUACCACCCUUUAAUGUUUGAUGUUCUAACGUUGACCCGUAAUCCGGGUUGCGGACAGUGUCUGGUGGGUAGUUUGACUGGGGCGGUCUCCUCCUAAAGAGUAACGGAGGAGCACGAAGGUUGGCUAAUCCUGGUCGGACAUCAGGAGGUUAGUGCAAUGGCAUAAGCCAGCUUGACUGCGAGCGUGACGGCGCGAGCAGGUGCGAAAGCAGGUCAUAGUGAUCCGGUGGUUCUGAAUGGAAGGGCCAUCGCUCAACGGAUAAAAGGUACUCCGGGGAUAACAGGCUGAUACCGCCCAAGAGUUCAUAUCGACGGCGGUGUUUGGCACCUCGAUGUCGGCUCAUCACAUCCUGGGGCUGAAGUAGGUCCCAAGGGUAUGGCUGUUCGCCAUUUAAAGUGGUACGCGAGCUGGGUUUAGAACGUCGUGAGACAGUUCGGUCCCUAUCUGCCGUGGGCGCUGGAGAACUGAGGGGGGCUGCUCCUAGUACGAGAGGACCGGAGUGGACGCAUCACUGGUGUUCGGGUUGUCAUGCCAAUGGCACUGCCCGGUAGCUAAAUGCGGAAGAGAUAAGUGCUGAAAGCAUCUAAGCACGAAACUUGCCCCGAGAUGAGUUCUCCCUGACUCCUUGAGAGUCCUGAAGGAACGUUGAAGACGACGACGUUGAUAGGCCGGGUGUGUAAGCGCAGCGAUGCGUUGAGCUAACCGGUACUAAUGAACCGUGAGG